UGGGGAAUUUUGGACAAUGGGCGCAAGCCUGAUCCAGCCAUGCCGCGUGUCUGAAGAAGGCCUUCGGGUUGUAAAGGACUUUUGUCAGGGAAGAAAAGGGCGGGGUUAAUACCCCUGUCUGAUGACGGUACCUGAAGAAUAAGCACCGGCUAACUACGUGCCAGCAGCCGCGGUAAUACGUAGGGUGCGAGCGUUAAUCGGAAUUACUUGGCGUAAAGCGGGCGCAGACGGUUACUUAAGCAGGAUGUGAAAUCCCCGGGCUCAACCUGGGAACUGCGUUCUGAACUGGGUGACUAGAGUGUGUCAGAGGGAGGUAGAAUUCCACGUGUAGCAGUGAAAUGCGUAGAGAUGUGGAGGAAUACCGAUGGCGAAGGCAGCCUCCUGGGAUAACACUGACGUUCAUGCCCGAAAGCGUGGGUAGCAAACA
rnacentral:rRNA from 1 species